rnacentral:sRNA from 1 species
AUUCUGCCCAAGCGGAGAAGGAUGAGAAGCUUCGACCAAGGUUCGACUUGAGCGCCAGCGAGAGAGCGUUGCCGCAGGCAACGACCCGAAGGGCGAAGCGCGCAGCGCUGAGUAAUCCUUCCCCCA